rnacentral:ncRNA from 1 species
UCUGGGGUGACCUAGAAUCUGAAGGAAGCUGGAAGCAAAUUUCCGACCCGAGUAACACGGAUCUCAUAAUAGGCUGCAUUUCUCGAAUGAGACUGCUAAACAAGUCGAAGUUCAACGACCAAAGGGGAAUGUAGUAAAUGAGGCCGGUACAUGGAAGGAAAGUUUGUGCA